UUUUGUAUUUUUUUUCCUCUUGAUUUUCUUUUUCCUAUUUUCAUUCACCUCACUAAAAACAAACAUAAACGCCAUUCAUUCACCUACAAAAAAAUCAAGUUUAACAAACUUCAAUAUUUAUGUGGUGGGACGUGGUUUAUCCAAGGCUGGGGGGGCUGCUUUUUAUUUUUGCUUGUCUCCUCUUGUACUAAUUGUUUAAUUUUGGUAAAAAACAACCUUCAAAUCUUUGAUCCAAAACCACAGCCGCAAUAUGUUGAAUAGGGCUCAUUGAACCUUGUAUAUGCAGUUUUCUACUCUGUACUCCAGCCCGAAAAACAAGAAUAUAUAUAUAUUUUAGUGUUAUGUUAUGAGGGUGAAGGCCAAGUUCUGGUGUGGAAUAAAAGGGUAAGCUGGGUUUCGCUGCAACAAAUGAAGCAGGUGAUCACGUGAUGCUGGUCACUGUAUUCAGAGGGGGAGGGAUCUUACUUUCGGUCGUGGCAAUUAGCUUUUAAAACACUAAUGCCUGCAUCAUUUGGCUGAGCCACUGUCAAAAAGACUCAAAGUUGCAUCAUUUACAACUCAGAGCUGAGAUCUCUAAAAAGUUCAAGGCCAAGACCCAAUGGGUAAUGGGACUCACUUUUAUUUUAUAAGUGGGUUUUCCUUUUUACUACUUUCUGAGUCUUACAAUUGAUUCGAAUGCAUGGCAAAAAUAUUAACAUGUUUCAUUCUGAAGCUUUGAUCCUGAACCUGCAUUUGCUCCAUCUACAUUUAUUAGUUUUUCCCUCGUCCUAACUUCUUAGCGUCCUUGGUUCUUUACCUUGUUAGUUCUGUCCCUGUUUUUGCCUUUUUGUCUCCUUAUGGUCCUGUUUCCAUGGCCCCUAAAAGUCCCAACACAACAGCAUAAAUACAUCGUGGUUGAAGACCUGGAGGAAGAACUCAUAAAUUUGGAUCUUAUAUUAUUGUAUAAACUUUUUAUAAUCUUAAUAAUUAUAAAAAGUUUAUACAAUUAAUAUUUUAACGACUCAACUAUUAAAUUUAUCAAUAUAAUUGUAUUUGCUAUGUAUGUAAAUUUUCGAAUCAAUAUAAUAUAUCUAUCAUAUCAAUCUAAAAUUUUGUAUAUAUUAAUAUCUAUUUAACAGUUAGAAAAAAAUUCUUUUACAUAUAACAAAUAAUUAAAAAAAUUUAAUUUAUAUUAAAUUUGACAUGCAUAACCUAUAUAAGUGAUCUAUAGAAGUGAAAUAUAAUAUAAAAUUAUUAGAUCCUUAGAUAAUAAUUACAUAAAAAAAAUAUACAAAAUGAUGUAAAAUUAAAAGGUAUAAGUGAAUCCUUCCCACUUUUUUAAACGGGAGGUUUGCUUUUCAAUUGGAGCAAAAUACCCUAGUGAAAAAUUAGUGCUCCAAUGUGGUAUGAGGUUCACGAUUGAAUAAAAUUGUUGUUAUCUAAACGCAAAAUCAUGGUACAUUUGUACAGAAUAUGUGAACUCAUUGAAACGUGAGUUCUACUCACAUCCAAAGGAAGCUGUAAUCAUCGAAAACAAUAGUUGAUCCUUAAGGAAUGGUUGGGUAUUAAAGGCAUUGAAAAUGUUGAUCUUCAACAUCUGAAUUUUGAGUUCAAAUCCAUAACAUGCCACUAUAACAAUGCACCAAAGAGAAUCGGAAAUGUGUUUGUUAUUAUAGAUUUUCAUAAAAAUGGCGAUGAAUUAUGUUAGAGUAAUAUUAUGUGAUCUACAACAAUCAUCAAAUUAAUCAAAAAGCAUUUGAGUGUUGUGGUAAGAUAUAUUACAUUCUCAAAAAGAGAACAUAAGUUCGAAUUUUAAAAAUGAUAUUAUUAAGAAAAACAAUUAUAAACUCUAAAUAAUAACAGUAAGAAAAGUUGCAUGGAAAUGUUUUGUUGAACUUCAGCUUUUGGAUUCAGCUAGUGCUCAGUGAAUCUUUAUAUUGGAUUUUCAGAGCUGAUGAUGAAAACAUCUUAUAUAACAUUAUUAAUGGCCUUAUCAUGCCAUAUUGCCAUAGCUUUGGUUAUUGUUACUGCAAUCAACCCUUUUAGGAACCAAUCCCCUUCAAGAUGUAGUUAAACUCAAGUUUUUGUUAAUUAUGAUAGAUUGUUCUCUCCCCUCCAUGAAACAUAUUGUCCACUUUUUCAUCUUACAAUAACAAAUAUCCAUAUUUUUAAUUGCAAUCGACAACUUUUUCGUCUUAGGAACUCUAAUCAACCAUCCAAAUGAAUAAGUAGAAUGUGUUAAAAUGCACUUUAUAUUAAUCAUAGAAAUCAACAAAACAAUGUUUUUAUUUCUAUGUUACAUACAUCUGUGGGAGGCAAUAAUUUUGAUUUUGAAGGUCACAGAUGAAUAUAAAUGUGUGGGAAGCAGUCACGACAAUCUGCUCACCAUGGGGCCACUUUACCCAACUCAUUAUCUCAUUAACUAGUUGGUAGAAGCAAACUGUAUUCCUUAAGCCACCAUCUCACUUAAUAUCCGGUAAUGGCACUUUCCAAAAAUUCCAUGCGUUAUAAUCUUCCUGCAAAAGUAUUUCCAUAUCAGGGAAACCAUUGAAGGCUCCAAAAUAAAAUCCAGGGACAAUCUUGCAGAGAAUUUGUAGUAAAGAGACAGGAAAUAUACUCCUUACCUGCUCAACCAAUGAGGCUGGCGGAAACAUGUCAUCAACAAGAGUAUGCAAUGACGUAUACGAUCUCACAUCAAUACGUUGACUAAUAGCCACCUCACCCUGCCAAGAUUAUUAGAAAGUCAAUAGUAACCGCAAGACAGGCUUCAGUUAAGUUUUACGUCUCUUUUUUCUCAUACAAUCAUAUGGUUGUACCUUAGGGUUAAUUAUAAAUAUCUUGCCCUUCGGGAUUCCAAUUUUUCUGUAACUGAGCUCAUCUGUGUCUCUGUUUCCAAAGCCAGCAUAAAACGGAUUGUGAUCGGAAGGGAAAAGUUUCUUGAUAUCCUGCAUGCACAUGUAACCAAGAAAUCAAAGGUGAAAGACUGAUCUGAUCAUAGUAAUUUAAAUCUAUAUUGAGAAACAAGGUUUAUUAUUUCAGAAUUUACCUCUAAACAUGCUAUUUUGAAUUCAUGAGGUGCUCUUCUUAUCACUGCCAUGAAUAAAGAGGAAAUUGUAGAAUAACUCAGAAUGGUACUCAUAUGUUAUUACAACUAAGAAGAAAAUGGAGAGGGGUGAAGAGGAUACAAAACAUAAUGCAUGCAAGUACAUAACUACAUACUACAUUCAAAAGAUUUCGACAAAAAAGAUCAAAAGUGCAAAAAUAGACGCUUUUUAUCAUUCAUGGGUUCUAUGAUGGGAUGUAAUUUCCCUUGUGUUACUGAAGCCACAAAGUUGUGAUGCAAACUUGAAACAACAAGCUAUAUUUUACUUCAAUAAACAAUGGAAAAAAUGGGGGGGGGGGGGAAUAGAAGACCUUACCUUCACGGUACAAUGAAGGAAACAAACCAUCAGGGGAAAUAACAACGGGUCCAUUCGGUAAAGCUUUUCCGUCCUGCAUGAAAAAAGGAAUCAGUUAAGAAUUUGAUUACAUACUCAUGAUUUCAACGAUUUUUUUUUUUACAAGAUGGCUCUAGAUGUGUUGGCUUAUUCAUUUAGUUGUUAUUUUGUCAUAUUGCCUUUUUGCUUCCAUAAGUAAAACGUAAAAAAUGCUUUCGGAUGCAACAGAAAACAAUUCUUUUGAAGAAAUAAAAAAUUGUAUAUUAGAAUUUUCUAACAUUGAAAUAGGAGGUUAAGAGCAGCAAAACCUGGCUAUUUUGCUACCUGUUUUAGGUUGAGUAAAUAGUUUCUGGUUAAAUAUGCCUGAACGAUUGCACGCGCACUGAGAAAUAGCAGCUGAUAUCCAUUCUCCUGUUGUGAACACACAAUUCGGUAUUUGACAUCAGAUACCAAGGAAAUCACUUUGCUAAAUCAAACUCCAAAGUGACUUGAUAUUGAACCCAAUGUUCCAUAGAAGCAAUAUUGUGUUUGUGUAUGCAAAAACAUGGUAGUAAUAGAGAAAAGUUAAGGAGCAUAAUAAUGGGAUAACAUUCACAUCAUCAUGGUGCUAAGUCUGUCAAAUGUUAUUCCAUAAACUAGCAUUAUAAAACCCGAUGAAAGAAUAUAUCAUCACUUAGAUCAAUAGAAAUUUUAUAAAGAAGAAGAAGAAACAAGAAAAGGAAAACAUGAGACUGAGGCGACUUUUGAUUGGUGGUGGGUAUACAAAAGGAAAGGAAUAAUGCUGGAGUCAUUUCAUAGAUCCAGUUUUGCAUCAUAGUACAGAACAGAAUUAAGGCUCAAUUAAGUCAAGUUAAACAAUGAAAAAUAAGAGGAAAAGCAUACCUUAAUAGCAGAGAAAAGUUUGGCUACACCAGACUGUGUCCAGUCCCUUCCAACUAAAGGCAUAAACUGGCCUAAAACGUCAGACCUGAAAGAAAUGUGUCAAGGUUAUCGAAAGAUACAUUUUGUUCUUAGACAAGAUUGAAACACAUUCAAAACAAAGAUUUCACCAUAAAUCAAUUAGGAAAUGACAGGUUGUGGAAAUGCUCAUUGUUGCUUUAAUGCUGAAGGUCUUAGGGGAAGAUCAAUCUCAGCUUCAAAUAUAUAAGUACCUGGCUUAUUUAUCUCCGGUUCUUUUAUAAUCCACUUUUACUUAUUAGUUCAGUAUUGAACUCAUCAUAACAAGUCUAUUAAGGAAAUCAUGUACCGAUUGAGAAUACACAUAUCAUAAUAAGAAUUACAGGUGAGUCUAGACAAGCCCCUAAAUGAGUGAAACAGAACAUUUUAAAUAAUGCAGAGAGAUACGUCAGGAGGUAAAAAUCCCUACUUGGUAAUAGUUCCAUCAACAUCUGAGAUUACAAUCUUAUCAUUCCACUUCCACAAGUAAAGAUGAGCGUCAACCUGUUAAAGAUGCAUAGGUUUUAGAGGCUGACAUUUAAGCAUAACACAAACCUCGAAAACAUGAUGAGGAAUUUAGUAGAGAACUGAAACCUCUUGGUUUCCAAAAACCCUGGUGGAGAAACUGAAAGUAAUCAUAUUUUGACCAUCUUUCAGAUUCAAGGAAGCUAUCUGCUCAGUAGUGGGAACAUUGGUUCUAAUAAAUUGCUUGCGGGAAGAAUCAAGAGUUGAAC
rnacentral:lncRNA from 1 species